rnacentral:rRNA from 1 species
GGGUCCUACGGGGGCAGCAGUGGGGGAUAUUGGACAAUGGGGGAAACCCUGAUCCAGCGACGCCGCGUGAGUGAAGAAGUAUUUCGGUAUGUAAAGCUCUAUCAGCAGGGAAGAAAGAAAUGACGGUACCUGAGUAAGAAGCCCCGGCUAACUACGUGCCAGCAGCCGCGGUAAUACGUAGGGGGCAAGCGUUAUCCGGAUUUACUGGGUGUAAAGGGAGCGUAGACGGCAAUACAAGUCGGAGGUGAAAUACCCGGGCUCAACCUGGGAACUGCUUUGGAAACUGUAUGGCUGGAGUGCUGGAG